ACCCGGUAAGCCUAAAUACUUAUGAUGACCGAUAGCGGAUUAGUACCGUGAGGGAAUGGUGAAAAGUACCCCGGGAGGGGAGUGAAAUAGUACCUGAAACCGUGUGCUUACAAUCCGUCAGAGCCUUGUUGUGGGGUGAUGGCGUGCCUUUUGAAGAAUGAGCCUGCGAGUCAGCGGCAUGUCGCGAGGUUAACCCGUGUGGGGUAGUCGUAGCGAAAGCGAAUCCUAAUGAGGGUGUUGUCAGUGGCAUGUUCU
rnacentral:rRNA from 1 species